rnacentral:rRNA from 1 species
GAUGAACGCUGGCGGCGUGCCUAAUACAUGCCAGUCGAGCGAACGGACGAGAAGCUUGCUUCUCUGAUGUUAGCGGCGGACGGGUGAGUAACACGUGGAUAACCUACCUAUAAGACUGGGAUAACUUCGGGAAACCGGAGCUAAUACCGGAUAAUAUUUUGAACCGCAUGGUUCAAAAGUGAAAGACGGUCUUGCUGUCACUUAUAGAUGGAUCCGCGCUGCAUUAGCUAGUUGGUAAGGUAACGGCUUACCAAGGCAACGAUGCAUAGCCGACCUGAGAGGGUGAUCGGCCACACUGGAACUGAGACACGGUCCAGACUCCUACGGGAGGCAGCAGGAGGGAAUCUUCCGCAAUGGGCGAAAGCCUGACGGAGCAACGCCGCGUGAGUGAUGAAGGUCUUCGGAUCGUAAAACUCUGUUAUUAGGGAAGAACAUAUGUGUAAGUAACUGUGCACAUCUGGACGGUACCUAAUCAGAAAGCCACGGCUAACUAAGU